rnacentral:lncRNA from 1 species
GCUUAGGGUCGAUGGAAAAGGAAUAAUUUAUACCAAGGUUUAAGCUCUUAGGUGUGGAUGAAGGUAGAGCCCAUUUUACUUUGAUGAUAGGACAGACUAGGGUUACAAGUUAAGGGCUGAGGGGCAAGAGUCUUUUCCAUGGGAGGAGAUUGGGAGGCAAGAUGUGGAAGGGACCAUGUGAUCAAGGACAUGGGGACCCUUCUCUAGCCCUUAAGUUAAAACCAUCCUUUGGGUUUGUUUCUGCUUUUCUCUCCCCACCUGUAGAUGUUGACUCUGUUCCCAUAGCAACCUAUGGACCUGUGUCUCCAACUGUUUCCUUCCAGCCCCUUCCACGUAUUGCCCCGAGGACAAACCUCUCGCCUGGGGUCACAGUAUCAGCUCUAUCUGCCAAGACCACUUUGU